rnacentral:rRNA from 11 species
UCCCUAUCUGCCGUGGGUGUAGGAAUAUUGAUAGGAUCUGUCCCUAGUACGAGAGGACCGGGAUGGACGCACCUCUGGUGGACCGGUUGUGGCGCCAGCCGCAUAGCCGGGUAGCUAUGUGCGGACGGGAUAACCGCUGAAAGCAUCUAAGCGGGAAGCCCCCCUCGAGAUAAGGUCUCUCUGAGAGCCGUGGAAGACCACCACGUUGAUAGGUCAGGUGUGGAAGCCCAGCAAUGGGUGAAGCUAACUGAUACUAAUUGCUCGACAGGCUU